CCGGAAGCUAUCGCACUGGAUGGUUACAAAGGGUUUAGUGCAAUAAUGUUUGUAAAGUGCUUGGCACAGUGCCUGGUCCUUAAAGGCACGCAGGACCUGAAGGUCACUGUGAACACCAGAGGCCACCUCCCCAGGGGCAGAGUCCCCAACACCAGAGGACAAGGUGACCCCCCAGCUCAGCCACAACCUCUGUUUUGAUCUCUGGCUCCCUGAGCUCCAGGCUUUGGCGACAGAAAGAUCUCCUCUCCCCAGGAACUGAGGAGGUUAAUUGAAUACGUUCUCCUCUCCUAGCGGUGGAGGCCUGCAGACAGUGCCAAGCACAACAGGCCCAGCAUGAAGGGGGCCUGGGAGGCCCGUCCCACCUCUGCAGCCCGGGGCCUGUUCAGGCAGGGCCAGGGGGACACGUGUGGGGGACCAGGAAUGUGAGCUAACCUUGCAGCCCAGUGUGGCUCACGGGAAGAUCCUGACGCAGCAGCUCCAGCAUCAGCCGGGCCCUCGUUGGAAAGGCCAGUUCUCGGACAGUGAAUGCUAAGCUCUGGAUGGACCCCAGCGACCGGGCCUGUACUGCCCUCCAGCGAAUCUCUUUGCAGGGAAGUCCUAGCUCUCGGUGCUCUUGGCAGGACCUCCUUGAUUCAGGUCUCACGUCGAUCAUCAGCUCCUGGAAGAGGUCCUCCCUGGCCAGCCGGUCCCCUCCUGCCAUCCUCGCUUCCACCAUCUUCUUGAUCAUCUUCUUGAUCAGUUCCAUGGCUCCCGUCACACUCGAGAGCUCUCCUUAAUCUGUGUCUUGUUGAAUGUUUCUCUCACCCUCACUGGCCACACCAGUGAGGCCAACCCCCCAACCAACUGUAACUCCGUGAGGAUGGGAUCCCCGGUUGGCCCACGGUAGGCCCUCGGUGAUAGAAUGAAUGAGUGUUGGAGCAGGGGAGUGAAUGAAUUAGAGUGAUGAGGAGAAGCCAUGGAGCAAGAGACCGGGAGUGGAGGGUGAUGGAGAGGUUGCAUGCACCACCCCCCACCAGCUGGAUUUCAGAGUUGCACAUCUCGGAGGAUGGAAGUGUAGGAACAGAUCCCCAGGAAAUACCACGCAUCCAUGCAAUAUUACAGGUUUCUAAACGGAGCCUUAAUGUGAUUUUUGCAUAUUGGGAGUAAUAAAACGUAGGCGAUGUCUGCUCA
rnacentral:lncRNA from 12 species